CGCUUUUCAUUCAUAUCUUUCAAAAACCCUAAUUAUCAUACAUCUUCGAUUGUCUCAAGCACAAAAGCUCUCAUCCAGGUAUGCAGCUGGAAGAAAAAGACUGGAGUCGGCGUCCCCGAUUUAAAACCCCCAAAUCACCUUCAUUAAACCUUAAUUUCGCGAAUCAUCUACCCGACUCACGUCUCCCUUCAAUCGACAAAUUAAUCAUCCAAGCUGCUAUUGCAAUUGUCAAGGAUGUAGAUGCCUUCUAAGCUGCUAUUGAAUCUUCUCUCAAUCUUUCCCUACGCCUUCUAAGAGAUGUUGAAAGAAGAUGCAAAUGGUAGAGAAGGUUAUCCAAAUCUUCGGGGUUGACUCAGCGGUGUAUAAUCACACGCACACCACAAUUCUGGUAGAAUGCUUCUACAGUAAGCUCACUAUCUUCUUUCAAUUUGAUUCAUUCUUUCUAAUAGUUCUCUACUUCGUUGUUGUGGUGCAUUUCUUGGUUCUGAUUUGGUGGCCACGAUGAUUGGAACUGAUGGUGGUAGUGGUCACCUAAAAAAUCGGAUACGAUGCCAUGGAGGUUGCACACCACCGUAUCACCGCCACUUCUUCGAUGUGAUGUUAUCGUAGAAGCCGUAGCGACUUUAAGUUUGUUAAAGCCUGGUGUUAUGUUACAAAAAAACCCUAAUUUCUUCCUACAAAACCCUAUUCGCACUCCUCUCCUCUCGAUCUUUUUAUUAAUGUCUCUUUUUAUCUGUCAACGUAAUUUUGUUGAUGGGUUUUUUGAUUUUCCAGGCAAGUGGUUUAAUAUUAUGUAUUUUGGAGGUGUUGGUGAUGGUGUUAGGAUGGAUACAACCAUCAGCCCCAAAUUUUUGUCAGCAAUAAUCCAUAACGGAAUCAGGAACAGGGUAGAUUAAUUAAUUGGAGUUUGGACCACUCAUGAUUUCAUGUCCAAGAAAUAAAGAUACCCACAAUCUCAAGCUGAAGGCACUUCCUCCUGUACAGCCAGAAGAAAAUGUUGAUGAUCUGAUGAUUACGAUCCAACAAUUGACAUCACCUCAAAGGCCACACGACCAGGUAACAAUACAUUCUCACUAAUGAUACAUUAAGGAGAAAUCCAUAUAACUUUAUGCAAUAAUGGGGGGUUAUUUAAGGAGAAAUCCAUAUACAACGCUCUAGCUGCACUCUCAGUCUGACCUAACUAUCAGUCCAUCUGUCCAUGGAACUUUGGUGAACCUUUCCAAGAUAAAGACUUCCCAAGUCUUUCUGGUGCCAAGAUCAUAAGCAUUGCUACACAUCCUAAUGCAAUGAAGCUUGGAUAUGGUUCAACAACCAUAGAGUUGCUUGCAAGGUUUCUAACUCUUUUGAAAUGAUAUUUCAUUCGCACUUGAAUCUUGCAGGUUUGAAUCUAUAGCUCAAAUUGCAACUUUUAAAAUCCUUAAUUGUAAUCUGAUGACUCUUUUUUUAAGUAACAUGGGUGCACUAAAAAGUUUUAUUUGGAGUGUAAAAUUUGUUACCGAGAACAUGGUAAAAACACGAGAUGGAGUCAAACUUAUGAAUUAUGUGGAAUCCUUUGCUUAGGGUUGGCUUCCGAUCUCAACUCAAGAACGAAGGUACAUUCGCCUUUAACUUAUCAUGUUGAACUAUGUUAAAUUAUGCAUUUUUUGACACUGAGUUAUGAUAGUAAUCUAUUAUUCGAAUGGAUAUUGACCCAACCCGUAUCAUUCGAAUGGAUAUAUUAUGCAUAUUUGUACUUCGACACUUACUCCGGCGUUCAGACUCCUAAAAUAAUUGUGUAACUUAUGCUACGUCGUUCUUCAGGUUUGCUUCCAUACUUUUUUCUUGCGAUUCUCGGUUUUUGUUGUUUUUUUUUUUGCUUACAUUUACCCUUUUUAAGACUGUAUUCAAAUGUUGUAUUGGCUGGUACUUUGGUUUGGUUGCCUUUGUAUCACCAGAUUUUUUUUUUCAAAACCCCGCUUAGGAAGCGGAAUUCAAUAUAUAUGUAGUCAUAUACCAACAUUUUGUUAUUCAUUAAGAUUAUCAUUAAUUUUAUAUCAGGUAUGUUAUUUUGGUUUUAUACAUUUGAAAUUGAGUAUACAGGCUUGCUGAUUAGCAGGUUGGACUAAAUUUGUCAACACUAUUUUUUUACUACAUCGGUAGAAAUAAAGGCGGUGAGCGACAAUGAGUGUUGGCUCGACUCAACACUGGCUUCCGGCUACAGGAAGUGACACAUCUAAAAGAAUAAAGGCAGUAAUGAGUGUCUGUUCGGCAUUGGAAAUGAGGAAGUUGGCGCCCAGAAGACAACCGCAUCAGUUGGCGACGACGACCGAUUUAGUGUUGAGCUACGAUAAUCUGGCAAGCAGGUUGUCUAUGGCCGGAGACAUUAACAAAUUUCAAUUUAUGGCUGGAAAACAAGAACAAGGUGUUUGGAACAUUUGAUUGAGUGGAUGCGAACCAGGUUCCAAGAUCCAACAUUUAACCACCGUUUAACUACACGUCACCAAAUCAGUCAAUAAAUCCCUGUCAGAGCUUCCUGGGCUAUCUUUCAUCAUCGAAGAAGCAUGAGAGAACGAUGGAGGGUCUUUUGAAUGGAAGCACAAAGGUUUAAAUGAAGAGGGAGAAAGUUAUUGAUCGAAUCGACAUCGUUUCGUAACGCAUAGCAGAGGUUAAAAGUUCAACUACCGCAAUAAAGGCGGUGAGCGACAAUGAGUGUUGGCUUGACUCAACACUGGCUUCCGGCUACAGCAAGUGGCACAUCUCAAAGAAUAAAUGAAGUAAUGAGUGUCUGUUCAACAGUGGAAAUGAGGAAGUUGGCGCCCAGAAGACAACCGCAUCAGUUGGCGACGACGACCGAUUUUGUGUUGAGCUACGAUAAUCUAGCAAGCAGGUGGUCUAUGGCUGGAGACAUGAACAAAUUUCAAUUUAUGGCUGGAAAACAAGAACGAGGUGUUUGGAACAUUUGAUUGAGUGGAUGCGAACCAGGUUCUAAAAUCCAACAUUUAACCACCAUUUAACUACACGUUGCCACAUCAGUCAACAAAUCCCUGUCAGAGCUUCCUGGCCUAUCUUUCAUCAUCGAAGAAGCAUGAGAGAACGAUGGAGGGUCUUUUGAAUGGAAGCACAAAGGUUUAAAUGAAGAGGGAGAAAGUUAUUGAUCGAAUCGACAUCGUUUCGUAACUCAAAGCAGAGGUUAAAAGUUCAACUACCGGUAUGAUUUAGGUUUUAUUUAUGGAUUUGUUGAUUGUUUCACUUUUUUCAAAUUAGGGGUAUGUUGUUUCUAUUCCAUGGGGUUGUUUCAUAUUUGUAUGAAUCUGUGUUGUUAAAGUCGCAAAGGCCUCGCCAAGGGCCCGUUUUCAGCAUGUAGUUGUGCACUAUGAUGCUCAAGUAGCUCUAGAUCAUUUUUUCUUAAUCUUUUGUUAGUUAUUACAAAGCUGAAAAAUAAAGAGUCAAUUCGGUUUUGGAUUAGCCCCUGAAAAACAGGUUUUAAAACCGAAAUCGAAAAAAACCCGUUUAAAACCGGUUCGGUUAAUAUAUAUUAACGGACGUUAUUGGGGAUAAAGAGUUUAAGUUUAUGUAUCUUCUUUUUUAUGUUUUGGUGAUUAUUAACAUUUAACGUUUUAUCAAUUAUGUUUUAACGUUUUGGUUUAAAAAAAUCAUAAGUAAGUUGGUGGAAGUUGACCUGUAUGGUAAUUUUAUUUAGCCUACAAAGAUUAUAUAGAAACGCUGAUAUACUUUCCAUGAUGUUACCUUAAAUUUCGGCUUUUAUUAUUACACCCGAAUAACCCGUUCUCGGUGAAAUCGGUCCAUGCGAUUCUUCAUAGUCAUGAUUCAAUUGUUCCUUGAACUUCGGACUUCUGUUGGUUAAAACGGGUGCCUGUUAAGGUUCUUUGCUUCAACUGGAGGCUGCUGCUAUGAUUUCUACGCUAAGGUUUUGUGUAAUAUACGAUUUAAAAAAUAUAUUCUUCUAUGUAUUCCUGACAACAUCUUUAUAUGGUUUCAGGUAUCAUGUGUCGCGGUUGUUGAAAACAUGUGCCACUUUGAUGUAGACGAGAAACAGUUUUACCCAUUUGGUAGAGGAGCAAGAUCACUGGUUACUGAACAAAUAAUGGAUGAAAAGCUUUGGAGGAUGGUGACACGGGUUUUGCUGUCGCGUGUUGUUAUGCAUUUACCCUAUCAUUAUGGGGUACAUUAUAUCAUGUUUUUCUCUUCUUUUAAUUAGUGAUCCAAGUGCGUAGACAUACACUAAUAAGUCAAAUUGGUUUAAUGUAUCAUGAAUCACAAAUUUUUAUUACCAACUAUUUUGUAA